CCCUUAGAUGUUCUGGGCCGCACGCGCGCUACACUGACGAUGUCAGAGAGUGUCUCCUUCACCGAGAGGUGUGGGUAAUCUUUUAAACAUCGUCGUGCUGGGGAUAGAUCAUUGCAAUUUUUGAUCUUAAACGAGGAAUUCCUAGUAAGCGCGAGUCAUCAGCUCGCGCUGAUUACGUCCCUGCCCUUUGUACACACCGCCCGUCGCUACUACCGAUUGAAUGGUUUAGUGGGGCCUUCUGACUGGCGCCGCUACUCUGGCAACAGAGCGGCGGAUGCCGGGAAGUUGGUCAAACUUGAUCAUUUAGAGGAAGUAAAAGUCGUAACA
rnacentral:rRNA from 1 species